rnacentral:tRNA from 1 species
GGAAAGGUGACUCAGUGCUAGAGUGCUUGCCUUGCAUGCAUGAGGCCCUGGGUUCGAUUCCUCAGUACCA